UAACUGCAUGGAAUGAUGGAAAGAUGAUCUCGGUUCCAUCUUGCUGGGUGGUGGGGAAUCCGAGUUAAUGAUAAAACAGGGACUGUCGGGGGCAUCCGUACUACGGACGCGAGAGGUGAAAUUCAGUGACCGUCGUAGGACGAACAACAGCGAAAGCAUUUGCCAAGAAUGUCUUCGUUGAUCAAGAACGAAAGUUAGAGGAUCGAAGGCGAUCAGAUACCGCCCUAGUUCUAACCCUAAACGAUGCUGACCAGCUAUUCGCCGUCGUUAUUCCCAUGACGUGGCGAGACGCCCCCGGGAAACCUCGAGUCUUUGAGUUCCGGGGGUAGUAUGGUUGCAAAACUGAAACUUAAAGGAAUUGACGGAAGGGCACCACCAGGAGUGGAGCCUGCGGCUUAAUUUGACUCAACACGGGAAACCUCACCAGGCCCGGACACCAGAAGGAUUGACAGAUUAAGAGCUCUUUCUCAAUUUGGUGGGUGGUGGUGCAUGGCCGUUCUUAGUUGGUGGAGUGAUUUGUCUGGUUAAUUCCGGUAACGAACGAGACUCUGGCCUACUAANUAGUGGGCGGGUGUUCCGGUAAGGGGCCCCGCCCGACAAUGUCUUCUUAGAGGGAUGAGCAGCGAGUAUAGCUGCAGGAGAUUGAGCAAUAACAGGUCUGUGAUGCCCUUAAAA
rnacentral:rRNA from 1 species